rnacentral:tRNA from 1 species
AUCUUAUUAUUAUAUAUGUAUGUCUGAUUUCCAAUCAGGAGGCCCAUUUAGGUGGAUAAGGUA